UACGAAGGGGGCUAGCGUUGCUCGGAAUCACUGGGCGUAAAGGGCGCGUAGGCGGCGUGACGAGUCGGGGGUGAAAGCCCAGGGCUCAACCCUGGAAUUGCCUUCGAUACUGUCAUGCUCGAGACCGGAAGAGGUGAGUGGAACUGCGAGUGUAGAGGUGAAAUUCCUAGAUAUUCGCAAGAACACCAGUGGCGAAGGCGGCUCACUGGUCCGGUUCUGACGCGGAGGCGCGAAAGCGUGGGGAGCAAACACU
rnacentral:rRNA from 1 species